CUCGGAGCCUCCUCGCCACGUGUCGAGAGGUCAAUGUCGCAGUGAAAUUCACUCACGAGGCGACUGUCUCUGGUCUUGGUGUGCUCCUUUGACUGUCGGUGUUUUGCCGUCUUGCCCAAGCUUGGAUAUGAUGUUGACAAAUCUACAGGAAGGAACUUCCAAUCGUGGAGCGACGCACGAAUGAAGAGGCGCGAAUGAAGAGACCCGACUUCCCAUCGGGACAUGAUGGCUGGCAGGCGGUUGAUGCUAUCCCGCAGGAAGCGAGCGCAGUUUCCGAGGAGGAGCGCCGCGUGGUGGUGUAAGCACUCAGCCUGCUGAAGCGCGGGAGUGCAGAGAGGCGACCCCACGAGGUGGAGACAGGAGGGACAGGGUCCUCCUGGGGGAACAAAGCGAGCGGCGUCCUGGCGGGGUCGAGAGGGCAGGAGACGCAGCGGAUAUUGGCAGGGCUCUGGAUAGCGGCGCGUUCUGGUGCGCGAGCCUGCGAGCGCGUACCUGCACCUGGCCGUGGACCACUUCGCACUCGUGCUGGUGGCGUGUGCGCCGGUGCUCGACAUGGCGCCGAGAUCGCGCGCGUGCACGUGACCCGUGUGCGCUCCCCACGCUUGCACGUGAUGGAGGGGACCCACGUGGGUCGCGAUCUCAUCUCCGAGCUCUGCUUCACGAACCCCGUGGCACGCGCCCUGCACCGCGUGCGCGUCCGCGUAGAGGGAGCCGGCGUGCCCGCGCCGGGCAACAUACUUGUCGGCAACGUGGAGGGGCACGGCUACACGCGCGUGCCCGUGGUUCCCAAGCGCCGCGGGGAGCUCACGCUGAUCGCGAGCCUCGACUGCACGGAGCUGCCGCAGGUGCACGGGGGAGCCACCUUCCAGUGCGAGCCCUGAGACUUCAACAUCACCACCAUCAUCAACAUCAUGAGUCAACCACCAUCAUCAGCAUCGAGAGUGGUACCACCAUGAUCGUGAUCGAGUGAACUAUCAUGAACGUGUUCAUCAUCAUCAUUAUCAUCAAGGUUGCACUCAUGACACACAAAGUGCUUGCCACAAAUAUAUCACAAAUUCCUUGCUGAUCUCGUCAAGGAGCGUAAACCAUCACGAGAACUCCGC